rnacentral:tmRNA from 1 species
GGGGGCGAAACGGCUUCGACGGGGAUGUGUAAGCUCAUUGUUGCAUGCCGAGCAUUCUAUUUGCUCGUAAAUCCAAUAGAACUUAAAUAUAAUCGCAGACGAUUAUAACUACGCAGUAGCAGCUUAAUAACUGUCAUACUGCCGUUCCACCGGUCUUCGCCCGUAAGGCCGGAUUUGGGGCGUCGACUCAGCGGGCUGGCCGGUUAAUGGUGUCUGUACAUUAAACGGCGAGAUCCUCACAGAAUAGCACCAGUUCCGCUCUGUUCCCGCGGCAUAACUGGUGCGAACCUUCAAGUCGGGAACUAAGCAUGUAGAUACGAGAGGGGAGCAUUUGCGGACGCGGGUUCGACUCCCGCCGCCUCCACCA